rnacentral:rRNA from 1 species
CAGCCGCCACGGGAAUACGGAGGGAGCUAGCGUUGUUCGGAAUUACUGGGCGUAAAGCGCGCGUAGGCGGUUACUCAAGUCAGAGGUGAAAGCCCGGGGCUCAACCCCGGAACUGCCUUUGAAACUAGGUGACUAGAAUCUUGGAGAGGUCAGCGGAAUUCCGAGUGUAGAGGUGAAAUUCGUAGAUAUUCGGAAGAACACCAGUGGCGAAGGCGACUGACUGGACAAGUAUUGACGCUGAGGUGCGAAAGCGUGGGGAGCAAACAGGAUUAGAUACCCGUGUAGUCCCUGUCUCUUAUAC